rnacentral:rRNA from 1 species
AUGGCCUGUCUGAGGCAUAAUUUUCCACUUUCCUCUGUCCAUGGAGGCAUGCACCUCCAGGACAACAAUGUCCUAGCGUCUGUUGAUGCUGUCAGAACCAUCGACAAGGAUGCUGUAGAGUCUGCGAUGACCACUCCCAAGCUACGACAUACAGAAUAUGGUCGUCAAUAUUGCAUCUUUGUACCUCUGGAUUACCGAAAUGAAGAACAGAAGUGGAAACUAAACCAGCACUCGAGGACUGCAGGAUCACCGCUCGUGAAAGCCUGCAAUUCAAGUGUUCCUUAUACUACAACUGUAUGUAUACAUUUAUUUAUUUUCUACAAUUAA